UACGAAUGGUGCAAGCGUUGUUCGGAAUCAUUGGGCGUAAAGCGUGCGUAGGCGGUCUAGAAGGUCGGGUGUGAAAGCCCAGGGCUCAACCCUGGAACUGCGCUCGAAACCACUGGACUUGAGUCCGGAAGAGGGUUGCGGAAUGGUUAGUGUAGAGGUGAAAUUCGUAGAUAUUAGCCAGAACACCCGUGGCGAAGGCGGCAACCUGGAUCGAGACUGACGCUGAGGCACGAAAGCGUGGGGAGCAAACAGG
rnacentral:rRNA from 1 species